ensembl:lincRNA
GGAUUAUUAAGGACAAGAUCAGAAUCCACCCCAUGGAUAAAUGAAAGCAGAGCCAGGGUUGGGCAGGGCAGUUCUAGCACAGCAUGAGAACUUCGUCGGAGAAGCUAGGGAACCGAACACAGAUGCGCAGGCUCUCACCCUUGCUUGAAAGUUCCCCACAGUGAAACAGAAAACUAUUUUCUGUUUUUCUGUAGGGGACGAUCAAGUUUGAUCAUAGCAUGACUUUUCUAGAUAGAGGUCUUCCGCGGAACACAGCUGCGGGCAGGCAGCAAGUGGGAACGCUGUGGGAAAAUGGUUAUCAUUUUAUAAUCCUAGACAAUGUCCCCGGAAGCAGGGGCUGGACAUGACCUUCAGAUCACAAACUACUGUGCUAUGGCUGUGAGAAUAUGAACAGUAUUUCUGGGACAAAUAACCUUGACCUUUUUGCUGCUUCCUCCCGCUCCUGACUGGGAGGGCGGGGGUAGAACUGGCUGCCUUGCGCACUGGGAGAAGGAAGAACAGCGGCGGGGACUUCCCCAUCUGAGAAGGGCCAUUUUCUGCAGCUGGCAAAGGCCUGGCUUACCAGGCUAUCCCCACAACAAGAGUCAGCUUCCUUCUCUUCUGUGGGCUUCUUCUUGGGAGGUAGCACCAAGACACAGGAGUCCCUCAUGCCGAGGAAGGCGUCCGGUCGCUGACUCUCUGACUUUAAAAGGUGGAGUGUCCCUCGCCGCUGAGUGUUUACCAGGGUGGGGACCAGGAAGAGCAAAGGUGAGUCAGCACACAAAGGUAGGACUGUUCUCCAUUGAAACCCUACUGUCCCUCAGCGUGGGGAGGCAGGGGUGGGGUGGGGUGAAGGGGUUUGAGGGUGUUUGGGGGGCCUUGAGGGGAGCCACAGCCACUCUCACUAGUGUCUCCGUGAGCAGUUUUCUUCUCUGGUUCGUCCAGGAGCGAGAAGGAGACCAUACACAGGGUAAGUCUUGAACGCCUUUCAGACACCCAGAAGAGGGAGGCCAUGAAAUGCGUUGUGGCACAAUAGGCCUAGUGUUGGGCAGGGCCUGGCGGGGAGGGGGUGAUCAUAAAUACCUUAUCCUCUUCCAGGAAGCGUAUACUGCACAGUAUUUUUAGAGAGCAUUGUAGAAACAGGGAUCAAAAUUCUAGUCACGCAGACCAAUAUAUAAAUAGUUACUUAAAUAAAAAUAAAACUCACACUUUCUUUGUUCCAGUAAUUCUUUUUAGGAAUUUACCUUAAGAUACACCAAGUGCAUGUGCCACGAUGUACGUACAAGCCUGCUCACUGAUGCACAGUUUGUUUUGGGGAAAACUGGACACAUGGUUUGGGGCCGGAUGAGAAGAGGUCAGACCCGACAAAGGAAUUCCGGCAGUCAUUAAAAGGAAUCUGCUUCUGCUAACAUAGAAGUAUCUUCAAGACACCCAGGGUCAUGAAAACAGCAAUCGAUAUGCGGACUGAAGCAGAGAGUGACCGCAACUGUCUAAAAUUCUUUUUUUUUUUUUUAAAGAUUUUAUUUAUUUAUUUGACAGAGAGAAAUCACAAGUAGUGGGAGAGGCAGGCAGAGAGAGAGGGAAGCAGGCUCCCUGCUGAGCAGAGAGCCCGAUGCGGGACUCGAUCCCAGGACCCUGAGAUCAUGACCUGAGCCGAAGGCAGCGGCUUAACCCACUGAGCCACCCAGGCGCCCUAAAAUUCUUAAAAGACACGUGAUUAAUUGCGUUCUUGAAAGAUACACAAGGUUCCAUUGGGAAGAAAGCCUGGGGUUUUGGGAGAAGGGUAUCUUCUACUUUCCAUUUCAAACUUCUCUGCAGUUAACUUAUUAUUAUUAUUUUUUAACCAUAUUAGGCCUGCGUUAGUAAAAUAACCAAAUAAACAGACAUGUUGAAAAGGAUGCCCAUACAUUCGAGAAUUGUCUGGCGGUGGUGUUGGGUGUUGAUGGGCCUAUCCCGAAGCUGGGAUCAUCACUGUACACCUGGGUUCUGUGCCCCUUCCGGGUCUGUAAAGUAGAUUGGGAGAUGUUGCCUACAUGACAAGAUAUUAUCAUAUCUGGGAUGUUUAGCAGGUCCAUGAGCAUAACAGCAUGGCGGAUCUGAUUUCCAAAAGACCUGGGACUAGAAUACUCCCAAUGUUUCAAGUGUAUCACCCUAACAGGCAGAUAAACCAUAUUCUGAUUGUGAACAAUGGACAAUGGGGUAAGGCUCUGGCCUGUGGUUGAACAGGGCUUGUUUUUUAAUGGGAUUUUUUUUGUCCUCAUGAGUCAUAACAGGAAAGGAACAGAACUCUCUGUUGUCCUUUAAUCUUUUAAUUGACAGUCUAGGAUUUCUACCUUUUGAAGUUCUGCUAUUUGACUGCAAUGAAACACUUCUAUGGCAAAUGAUGGGGGGGGGAAAUCAACCAUAAAUAUUUGUUUCCUCUGAGCCCGGCACUGUAAACUCACACUGGGAUUGCAAUGACUUUCCACUUGAUGGAAUUCAGACCGCUCCCCCACCCCCAUUUUGGUGAUGUGAACAUGUAUGUUUGAAGCAAGCAUGUGUGGAUAUGUUGAAAUGCAGUGAAUGGAGUGCAAAGAAGUGUUUCUGGUGCAGUAGCGGGGGUGGGGAGGGAUGAGGCAGUAGGUAGCCAACAAAUCCCUUAGCGUCAGAGGAACUAACAUUUACUGAACCCAUCAACAGGUGCCGAUGUACUUUACAUGAUCUCAUUUAAUUCUCACAGCCCUGCAAGACACGAAUAUUAUAAUCCCUUUGUCCUGGGAUUGUAACGUAAUCUCUGCUUGGAGGAGCUGGUGAAGGAGAAGUACACUGGGGGUUUGGCACAUCCAGUGUGGGGAGCCCUCAAGGGAUACAGGACAUGGGCUCAUUAGUUAUCAUUCAUGUUAAAUAUAUGUGACCUGACCCAAAGUUCCAUAUUUGUGUAACAUCUCCACUUCCACGAUCUCAGUUAAUCCCUGUGACCAAGGGCCAGGACUGACUUCCUUGUCGUUCCUUCCGCUAUACCACAACUAACUUCCAACAUGAUCGCCAAGUGUAGAUAGAUGCUGGCUCCAGGAUCGGAGGGCCAGCAGUCUCCUAGCCAGGGCUGGCCCGAGUCAAUCUGGAAGCAACUAGACCAGACGUCAUUUAUCAUCUAAACAGGGACACUCUGAGCGCAGAAGAGAGUGCUGUUAAUAAAGCUGGAACAUGAGGCAUGAACUGAGGCUGUCUCAGGUUGCGCACUCUAUCUGUGACCAAGUUGAUCUCCAAAAAGUCACAGGCAGCUUUCAAAGACUGGCCCUCCCAGCCAGGAUCCUGGGCUACUUACCCACAGGUCCCCCACAAAUCCCUCAGUCUCUCAGACCCCCAGCGGCUGCUAUGAAGAUCCAGAAGAUGGAAAAAGAAUGCUAAUGGCCCCAACCCCCAAUGCCUCUCGGGGUAGCGUUGGUUUUACACAAUGACACAAUCAGAGGGCAACGUAUGGAUGGUACAUAGCAAGUGGGCAACAUUGAGUAGAGGAGGGAAAAAAGGUCUGUUAAAAAAAGAAAAACAAAAACAAA